rnacentral:rRNA from 1 species
CCUACGGGAGGCAGCAGUGAGGAAUAUUGGUCAAUGGGCGAGAGCCUGAACCAGCCAAGUCGCGUGAGGGAGUACUGCCCUAUGGGUUGUAAACCUCUUUUGUCGGGGAGCAAAAGCCGGACGUGUCCGGCUUUGAGAGUACCCGAAGAAAAAGCAUCGGCUAACUCCGUGCCAGCAGCCGCGGUAAUACGGAGGAUGCGAGCGUUAUCCGGAUUUAUUGGGUUUAAAGGGUGCGCAGGCGGAUUUUUAAGUCAGCGGUCAAAUCGUGGGGCUCAACCCCAUCCAGUCGAUGUACCUGGGGAGCUAGAGUGUGAGUGGGGUAUGCGGAAUGCGUGGGGUAGCGGUGAAAUGCAUAGAUAACACGCAGGACCCCGAUUGCGAAGGCAGCAUACCGGUGCACAACUGACGCUCAGGCACGAAAGCGUGGGUAUCGAACAGGAUUAGAUACCCCGUGUAGUC